AUGAAGUUUGAGAAUAUGACCUUCUUCUCCAAAGUGGCUGUUGAAAGAGUUGUUCAUCUGACGGGUUUCAAUGAUCAGCCAGAAUGCAAACAACAUCUCCAAGAAUCCUUGACUGAAUCUUCCAAACAGGAGACUUCCAAACUAGAUGGCAUUUGGCCAUUCCAUUUUCGGCUACCUGGGUUACUCAGUUACCAUUCAAGAGACAAAGGUAGAAAACACCCUGGCUGGAACCAACUAGCGUCAUUUUUUUAUAACAUGAUGUACUGAGAAGGACACAUAACCUUCUGCAGUAUUCUUGCACAAAAUGUAUCAUCUGAAUCUCAUCACGAGGAAACAUCAGACAAACUAAAUUGAUGGACAUUCUACAAAACAACUGGCCUGUACUCUCCAAAAAUGUCAAGGUAAGAAAAAUAAAGGCUGAGGAUGAAAGAAAAUGGAAGCA
rnacentral:lncRNA from 1 species